GGUGACUGCGGAGGGACAUUA
rnacentral:rRNA from 1 species